CUCCUCUCCUGCCUUGGCACUGCCCAUAGGGGGCAUUGUGACAUAUCUCUGGGCCUACACCCAGGUUAUAUGACUGUCAUGCCGGUGCCCUGACCGCAUAAAUAAUUGUGACAUAUUGCUGGGUCCAACUCCUGGUAAUGUUAAUUCUACUGCCUAGGUUCUAGAACAUCAUGACAUAUCUCUUCACCCAUCACCCAGAUGAUGUGACUCUCAUUUCCUACCUGGUCCCUGCUCACAUGGGGAAUUUUUACACCUCACUUGUCCCAGUGCCAAACAAAUGUGACUCUUCAUAAGUUCUGCUUGCGAGAGAUAUUAAGACAUCUUGUGGAGCUUAACAACAAUGUGACAUUACUGUUUUGUCUUGGCCUGGACCUCAAAAGGCAUUGUGACAUAUUGCUGGGCCCAGCAACAAGGUGACAUGGGUUGUUUGUAUGAAUCCUGAUAACAGAGAACAUUGUGGCAUAUCUUUGGGAGCAUCAACUGUUUGAUGUGACUCUUUUUUUAUACCAAGGCUUUGCUCAUAGGAGAGAUUGUGACAUAUCUUUUGGCCCAGAAAUCAGGUGAUGUGUUUCUCCUGCCUGAGCUUUGCUCACAGGGAGCAUUGUGACAUAUCACUGGGCCUAGAACCCAAAUGAUGUGACUCUGCUGAGUGUGCCCUGCUUUCAGGAGGAAAUUGUAACGUGUCUCUGACCAACCACCCAGGUGAUAACACUUCUGCCUGAUUCCUGUUCUCAGGGAAGAUUGUGACAUAUCCCUGGCCCAGCACCCAGAUGACGUAACUCUCCUGUGCAUGCCCUAUCCACAGUGUGAUUUUGACAUAUGCCUCUGCCUUGCACUUGAGUAAUGUGACUCUUCAGCACCAGCACAGCCUACAGAUAGGAUUGUGCCACACUGCUGGACCCACCACCUAAAGCAGGAUAUGUACAGAAUUGUUGAUCUCAUCUGUGGACCUUCCUGCAAGCACGAUUGUGCCAUAUGUCUCUGUAUACGCAAGGGUGAUUGUGCCAUAUGCCUCUGUAUAGUUUACUCUCCUGCCUGGAUUUAGCCCACAGAUGAAAUUAUGACAUAUCGCUGGACCAGAAACUAGGUGAUGUGACUCUAUUCUCUUGCUUCUGUGCUUUCACAUGGGACAUUGUGACAUAUCACUGGGCCUAGCACCCAGAUGAUGGAAGUUCUGUUUUCUGCCUUGGUACUGUCCACAGUGAGCAUUGUGACAUAUCGCUGCUGUCCCCUACAGGUUAUGUGACUCUCUUGCCUGUGCUC
rnacentral:lncRNA from 1 species